UCUCUGGUAGUAUAUCGGAUAGUACACCCGCCUGUCACUGUCAAGUGCGCGGGAGAGCGGGGUUCGACUCCCCGCCAGAGAG